rnacentral:rRNA from 1 species
GACGAACGCUGGCGGCGUGCCUAAUACAUGCAAGUCGAACGCAUUUUCUUUCACCGUAGCUUGCUACACCGAAAGAAAAUGAGUGGCGAACGGGUGAGUAACACGUGGGUAACCUGCCCAUCAGCGGGGGAUAACACUUGGAAACAGGUGCUAAUACCGCAUAAUUCCAUUUACCGCAUGGUAGAUGGAUGAAAGGCGCUUUUGCGUCACUGAUGGAUGGACCCGCGGUGCAUUAGCUAGUUGGUGGGGUAACGGCCUACCAAGGCUGCGAUGCAUAGCCGACCUGGGAGGGUGAUCGGCCACACUGGGACUGAGACACGGCCCAGACUCCUACGGGAGGCAGCAGUAGGGAAUCUUCGGCAAUGGACGCAAGGCUGACCGAGCAACGCCGCGUGAGUGAAGAAGGUUUUCGGAUCGUAAAACUCUGUUGUUAGAGAAGAACAAGGAUGAGAGUGGAAAGUUCAUCCCUUGACGGUAUCUAACCAGAAAGCCACGGCUAACUACGUG